GCAUGGAUAGCUCAGUCGGUAGAGCGACGGCCUGAAGAGCCGUGCGUCGGUGGUUCGACUCCACCUCCAUGCACCA
rnacentral:tRNA from 1 species